GAUGAAGAACGUAGCGAAACGCGAUAAGUAAUGUGAAUUGCAGAAUCCAGUGAAUCAUCGAAUCUUGAACGCACAUUGCGCCCGCCAGCAUUCUGGCGGGCAUGCCUGUUCGAGCGUCAUUUCAACCCUCGACCUCCCCUUGGGGAGGUCGGCGUUGGGGACCGGCAGCACACCGCCGGCCCUGAAAUGGAGUGGCGGCCCGUCCGCGGCGACCUCUGCGCAGUAAUACAGCUCGCACCGGGACCCCGACGCGGCCACGCCGUAAAACACCCAACUUCUGAACGUUGACCUCGAAUCAGGUAGGACUACCCGCUGAACUUAAGCAUAUCAAUAAGCGGAGGA
rnacentral:misc_RNA from 1 species